CGCCUGUUUUUCAAAAACAUUGCCACUAGCUCCUUAUUAAUGGUACAUCCUGCCCGGUGAUCUAUUUUAAACGGCCGCGGUACCCUGACCGUGCAAAGGUAGCAUAAUCACUUGCCUAUUAAUUGUAGGCUGGUAUGAAAGGACACACGCGAGUAAUGCUGUCUCAGCUAAACCCCUAAAAAUUUAUCUUUGAGUGAAGAAGCUCAAAUAAAUACGCAGGACAAGAAGACCCUAUAGAGCUUUACCUUAAACACUACACAACAUAGUGCAUCACGGUUCGGUUGGGGCGACCGGGGUAUACUAAACAACCCUAUAAUUUCAAGACUACCUUGUCACUUAAUAGAUCCUUAUAUAAGAUCAUUGGACCAAGCUACCUUAGGGAUAACAGGCUAAUCCUCUUUGAGAGCCCUUAUUAACAAGAGGGGUUGGCACCUCGAUGUUGGCUUAGGACCACUUUAUGAUGCAGCAGUCAUAAAAAGUUGGUUUGUUCAACCAUUAAACUCCUACGUGAUCUGAGUUCAGACCGGA
rnacentral:rRNA from 1 species